UUGAAGUGGUUCCAAGAAAAGCCUCUAAGCUUCAGUCUAACGAGACCGUACCGCAAACCGACACAGGUGGGCGAGAUGAGUAUUCUAAGGCGCUUGAGAGAACUCGGGAGAAGGAACUCGGCAAAUUGGUACCGUAACUUCGGGAUAAGGUACGCCCUUGUAGUUUGACUGGCCCGCGCCAGAAGGACGAAGGGGUUGCAAUAAAUUGGUGGCUGCGACUGUUUAAUAAAAACACAGCACUCUGCAAACACGAAAGUGGACGUAUAGGGUGUGACUCCUGCCCGGUGCUGGAAGAUUAAAUGAUGGGGUGCAAGCUCUUGAUUGAAGUCCCAGUAAACGGCGGCCGUAACAAUAACGGUCCUAAGGUAGCGAAAUUCCUUGUCGGGUAAGUUCCGACCUGCACGAAUGGAGUAACGAUGGCCACACUGUCUCCUCCCGAGACUCAGCGAAGUUGAAAUGUUUGUGAUGAUGCAAUCUACCCGCGGCUAGACGGAAAGACCCCAUGAACCUUUACUGUAGCUUUGCAUUGGACUUUGAACCAAUCUGUGUAGGAUAGGUGGGAGGCUUUGAAGCGGGGACGCCAGUUCUCGUGGAGCCAUCCUUGAAAUACCACCCUGGUUUGUUUGAGGUUCUAACCUUGGUCCGUUAUCCGGAUCGGGGACAGUGCAUGGUAGGCAGUUUGACUGGGGCGGUCUCCUCCCAAAGUGUAACGGAGGAGUUCGAAGGUACGCUAGGUACGGUCGGACAUCGUGCUAAUAGUGCAAUGGCAUAAGCGUGCUUAACUGCGAGACUGACAAGUCGAGCAGGUACGAAAGUAGGACAUAGUGAUCCGGUGGUUCUGUAUGGAAGGGCCAUCGCUCAACGGAUAAAAGGUACUCUGGGGAUAACAGGCUGAUUCCUACCAAGAGUUCAUAUCGACGGGGGAGUUUGGCGCCUCGAUGUCGGCUCAUCACAUCCUGGGGCUGUAGCCGGUCCCAAGGGUAUGGCUGUUCGCCAUUUAAAGUGGUACGUGAGCUGGGUUUAAAACGUCGUGAGACAGUUUGGUCCCUAUCUGCCGUGGGCGUUGGAAAUUUGAAGGGGGCUGCUCCUAGUACGAGAGGACCGGAGUGGACGAACCUCUGGUGUACCGGUUGUCACGCCAGUGGCAUUGCCGGGUAGCUAAGUUCGGAAGAGAUAACCGCUGAAAGCAUCUAAGCGGGAAACUUGCCUUGAGAUGAGAUUUCCCGGAGCUUUAAGCUCCUUGAAGGGUCGUUCGAGACCAGGACGUUGAUAGGCUGGGUGUGGAAGCG
rnacentral:rRNA from 1 species